GACGAACGCUGGCGGCGUGCUUAACACAUGCAAGUCGAACGGUGAAGGAGAGCUUGCUCUCCGGAUUAGUGGCGAACGGGUGAGUAACACGUGACUAACCUGCCCCUUUCUCUGGGAUAACGCUCCGAAAGGAGUGCUAAUACCGGAUACGAACUCUGAACACAUGUUCGGAGUUGGAAAGUUUUUCGGAAAGGGAUGAAGUCGCGGCCUAUCAGCUUGUUGGUGAGGUAAUGGCUCACCAAGGCGACGACGGGUAGCCGGCCUGAGAGGGCGACCGGCCACACUGGGACUGAGACACGGCCCAGACUCCUACGGGAGGCAGCAGUGGGGAAUAUUGCACAAUGGGCGAAAGCCUGAUGCAGCGACGCCGCGUGAGGGAUGAAGGUCUUCGGAUUGUAAACCUCUUUCAGUAGGGACGAAGCGAAAGUGACGGUACCUAAAGAAGAAGCACCGGCUAACUACGUGCCAGCCGCCGCGGUAA
rnacentral:rRNA from 1 species